ensembl:lncRNA
CUAAUAUCAGACAUUUCCUCUAGAAACUAGGAGCUUAACACUUCAAGGAGAUCAUGAAGAAGGACAGAAUAUUGUUGUUUAUUAGAGCAUAAUAUGAAAUGCUAUUCAGUUUCAGCAUUAGAAUGACAAAUGCAAUCUUAAACAUGGCUGGUGACAGGUUAGAUGCCUUCACACAGGCACUUAAUUAGCAGUGUGGAAGUGCUUAUUUGGAGCUUCAUCCAGCCAGCCAUGAGCUGGCUCCAAGAUGCAACAAACUGAAAGGGUUGAUGUGCCUUGAUUAUUUCUGUUGCCUUCAUUUGAGCUUUGUUCAUGUUGCUGAAUUGGGUAGGGACAGACAGCCACAAGCUGUCAAGCCAGUUUGUAAUUAAGCCAUGGCUUAGCAUGGCUUAAUAAGUUACUGCUCCACAGACAAGAUGUAAUAAUUGCCUGUGUGCAUGCUCUCAGCUUGUCCAGCAGCUGAAGUAACGUGUUAGUUUAAGUUACUAUAUUCUGCAAGAGUGUCCUACCUGAAAAGCAGUAGUUUGGGUUGGUAACUCAAUUACUUGUGAGCGUAUGUUUGUGUUUUCCCUCUGCGCCACAGAGAGCUCACGACUCAGUGCAGAACUGCAGGUGACACAAGAGAUGGUUUGAUGGGUGAUAUCUCUGACCAUCAGGGUGGCUUACAUCAGAUGCUUUGUUUCAACAUGGCCACUUCAAUUGAGCUCAGACAAGAGAGCUUCGCCUUUUCUGUGGUACCCAACUCGGGUUAAAUCUUUUGGAGGUUACACAGUGCUCUGGCAUGCCCAAGGAUGCAACAUACCUCAGUGAGAAAGGUGUAAGGUUGAAUGUGUGGAACUCUCAGACAGUCAAGCAAGAACACCCCAGGAAACCAUGGUGUUUGACUGCCUGUCAGGAUGAGAUUGAAGGCAUAUAAGUAUUACCUCCCACUGCAAAAAGUUGUAAGAGCAGCAGAAGUGUGAGAGCUGAAAAAGAAAGAAUGACGACACCUGAGAGCAUUACUGUGCAAAGCUCUUCAACGGCCACGGGCUCAACUGUCUAAUAAAGUGUUUGAAAACUCUAAUAGAAGCUCCACAACUGAAGUGUAGCAAAUGCAAAGGGCAUUGCUGUGUUUUGGACGUUUGCUGCUACGAACAGUGGAAACUGGAAAAUGUUUUCUGCAGACAAACAGAUUAUUGUAGAUAUGUAUGCACAGAGUACACACUUACAUACACAUAGAUACCUUUUUAGAACGUGUUCCCAGUGGACAGUCUUUUCACAAAAGGUCAACAUUCAAUAUACUUUUCAUAUUUAAAUACUUUCAACAAAAAUGUAAAGCAGUGCCUAUUUUUGUAAAGUCAUUUUCAAAUGUUACUGGAAGCAACUCUCAGUCCUCUGACGCAUUACUCUUUCUUCAGCAUUCCCCACAACUAAACUGGGUUGAUGAGCAAUAAUUUAAGCUACAAAAACCGAGGCAAAUUCCCAAUCUCCUUAUGCUUUCUAUCAGCUACUGAAUCUCACAUUUACAUAAUUUUUUGAGGAUUUUAUGUCCAAAUUUGCCAAAAGUAGGGGAAAUUCACUCUGGUAACAGACACAGAACUGAGAAUUUGACAAAGAUGAUGUAAUAUCUGGCUGAAGUAGAUGACAAAAUAAAGAAUAAUUCUUGAGAUACCUUUGCGGGAGGAUUCCUCUUCCAUCAGAACCUGAAGGAGGUACAUGGAAUUUCCUUUUGUUGCUUUUAUUUCACCACAAAUUAUCCCAGAAGAAACCUCAAAAUUGAUGUGCCCAGACUCACUCCUGAAAACUUCAAGUCAGACCUGUGGAGCUGGAGACAAUAUGAGUAAUUCAGUGAGUGAGUUUACAAAUGGAAAAACCACAGAUGUUUUCCUUCUCUCACUUAAAUGCUUUCAGGUGCACUUAAAAGUGAAUUUCUCUGCCACAUGAAAGAAGCUCAGUUGCUGCUCAGCAUCUCACCCGCUAUGGAAAUGAAAGUCCUAAUCGCCCUGUGUACUCUGAUGGUGUCAUGAAUGAGAGCUGUAGCCAGCCUCCACUCACUCUCAUUCAGGCCAACUGAAUGGGUGAGAUGGACUUCUGGACUGAGGGCAUUAAUCUUAAAGCUGCAUGUAGUCCCUGCACUACAGCAUGUAGCACUGAUUUUUCUCGUUUAAGUCAUUCCUGAAUUUACUUAUUCAGAAUGAUGACGCCUACUACAACAGAAUGAUUACUUGUCAUUCUGCCUAAUAACUGUGGAUGACUUUAGCUUGCAUUUUUGUAUUCCGUGUCACUGUUAGAAAGGGACUAGUAAAGGCUUUUUCUAUUCUAGAACCAGGAGGACUUCCGAAGAUGAAAAUGCUGAGUAAUCUUGGUCAUUUUCCAGUAUGCUGCUUCAUUUAAUGUAAUUUAAAGCAUCAUUUUCAUGCCUGCAGCAUUUAGGUAAUCACUAGCUAAGAGUCGCUGAUUGUAUCAAACAUUCGGCUCUGCCAUACAGACCUACCGCUGCACUUUUUAGCUUUGAUAAAUGGUAUGUCAAAAUCAGGUACAAGUGUUUGUUUCUAACAAAGAAAAGAAAGGGAAUGAAAGGACAGAAGCAAGCCCCAGAGCAACAGAUUGGACUAAAGUUUAUCAUUAAUUAGUGCUAUGCAAAUCAUCUGUUUUAGCAUACAAUGUUAAAUUAUCUUUUAGCACCCCUUCUUUUCUUCAUUUAUUUCAUAAAAAAAAAAAGAUCUAAAAGCAAAAAUGAGCAAUGGCGGAAUCAAAUUAAGUUUAUUCAUUGACAGUGACCCCUUACCCUGGCAAUGUUUAAUAUUACUUUAAGCAUUCUCUCACAAAAAC